AAUAAAUCUCUUUAAAAUACUAUGAUAAUGAUGACCAACACAUAGUUAACUAGCAAUCAGCCAAGAUGGGAAAUUGAAACUUAAACAUCAGCCCUCUCUACAAUGAAACAAACAUGGUGGCAUUUNAUUCUGACAAACUCAUCACCGUCACCUCCAUGGUGAAACUUCUAAAGUCUUAAUAUACAGAAAGAUUCAAUCACGAAAGAUCUUAAUAUAAGAUAUAGAUAUUACCUUUAACUCUUGAUUUUUUCAACUCCUUGCAAAAACUAAGUCAUGCCAAUUAUUCCAUAAAAACAUAACAGGAAAUGCCUACAAGAUAAGAAAGAAUCACAAUAGAAAAGAACAAAUCAAUAGAUCAGUGCCAAAGAAUAGUAUCACUUUUACUUAUGAUAUAUACUAAGCAUUAGACACAUUUUCUAAUUCUACCAAAUGCUAACUAAAGACAAACAAAAGGGUAUGCUCUAAGCUAAAGACAAACAAAACUUAUAUACUCACAAUAAAUGGUGUCUGACAAUACAUCACGUUCAAUUUAAAUUUUCCACAUGCUAACUUAAGGGUUCAAGAAACCAACCAUAUUAUUUCAAACUUUAACUUCUCGCAUGACAAAUAGAAAAUUCAUUUGAUUAAAGCAACCAAUCCUUAGUGCCAUUGAGUUUGUAAUAUAUCCUGAAAUUUAUGAUAAUAAUCAAUGUCUGUCUAUUGAUAGAACUUGAGAAUAGUAUAUCAUUUCAAUCAGUUG
rnacentral:lncRNA from 1 species